rnacentral:rRNA from 1 species
CCUACGGGAGGCAGCAGUGGGGAAUAUUGCACAAUGGGGGAAACCCUGAUGCAGCGACGCCGCGUGAGUGAAGAAGUAAUUCGUUAUGUAAAGCUCUAUCAGCAGGGAAGAAAAUGACGGUACCUGAGUAAGAAGCCCCGGCUAACUACGUGCCAGCAACCGCGGUAAUACGUAGGGGGCAAGCGUUAUCCGGAUUUACUGUGUGGAAAGGGAGAGUAGACGGGAGUGCAAGUCUGGAGUGAAAGGCGGGGGCUCAACCCCCGGACUGCUCUGGAAACUGUACGGCUGGAGUGCAGGAGAGGUAAGUGGAAUUCCUAGUGUAGCGGUGAAAUGCGUAGAUAUUAGGAGGAACACCAGUGGCGAAGGCGGCUUACUGGACUGUAACUGACGUUGAGGCUCGAAAGCGUGGGGAGCAAACAGGAUUAGAUACCCGAGUAGUC